rnacentral:tmRNA from 1 species
GGGGAUGUACAGGUUUCGAUAAAAGAUUCUCAUAUCUAAUAGUUGCCACUACUCGAUGAGCGUACCGAGUCUAAAAUAAUCGCUUAGCAUCUAAAAAUGCAAACUCAAAAAAUUUGUUAGCAAGAGCUAACGCUUUCGUAUUAAACUACGCCUAGUUUUUUGUUCAAUCACCAUCGCAAGAUGGAUGUAAGAACAAUGCCGGUUAUAACAUCGGCAUACGAUCGUAUCAACCGGUUCUACCAGACACCUACUAGGUAGACGGAGACACAAGUAGGUAAACAAAUGUCUGUACAAUAAAAAAUCCAUUGCCUGUUUGUUGGCUUUUGAAUUUGCCAAUUGUAAAGACAUAAAAUUCACGGCUUAAUAAACAAACUAUUGUGGUAGACGCUAUUAUUUAUGUCUUUUAGACGCGAGUUCGAUUCUCGCCAUCUCCA